rnacentral:lncRNA from 1 species
AUCUUGCAAAAAGAGAGAUCCAAAGUAAUUAGGAGAGGCUUAAGAAAGAAACAUGCGGAAUCAAGUCUAAGAAUAAAAGGGAGACAUCCACAUAUAUAUAUAUAUAAUCAAAUAUGUGCAACAAUAGGCAGGUUAUGUUGGCUGUAGGAACUCCUCUACCGUAGUGCCAUUCCUGAAGAUUCCAUGUCACAUUUUCUAGAUUUAUCAAAGGUUUGAAUUGUGAGAUUAAACCAGAGCUCGUUUUUUAUACAUCUGACUCAUUAGAGGAAGGUCAGGUUAUAGUUAGCUAUUAAAAUUGAUAAGUACCUCCAAUCUCGUCCAGUGAGAUGUGCACCUCACGUGUCAGUAGAUUCUCAACAGUUUCACCCUACUUCAUUCACUAAGUCAAGUAUUGAAUCUCAGUUUUGUAUAUCAUUGAAAAACAAAUAGACAAAGCCACAGACCCAAACACUACUGUUAAGACUAAAAAGAUUCAGGGUAAUGUUCCUUCUUUUCCCACAUUCCUUCUGCUACCAAAAAGAGCUGACAACAAUCUAAGUAUAAGUCCACAAAAUAUUAUAACUAAACCCCUGCGAAGGACUUCUAAAUAUCUCCAUCAAGGCUGGAUGCAAGAAAAGCUGUAUUCUUUCAUCAGACUUCAAAAGUUUCCGGGUUCGUGCCCCCCCAGCAAUUUUCUAUUACAUUAAUAUUUAUUAAGCUGCUAACUAGAUUCGAAAAUCUUGUAGAUUUCACUUAACAAAACAGCAGAAAUAAUGGAGGAAAGAGCAGUAGUAUAGUUUUGUCACUCUGUCAUUAUUCUGAAAUAGCGUGUAAUGCUUCCUUUCUACAUGGACUAUACUCAGGUUGUAGUGAAUACUCGAAUUUACAUUGAUCACGUGGUAUGGUGCUAACUUGUUCAAAAGUAUGUCUAUUCAACUCCAAUUACAUAACAUGGUUAACAACAUAACACAAUUGAUGAAACCAUUAAACUAUCACUUCGCUUUGUCUCUAAGGUAAAAUUAGAGUUAGAACUUAGAGAUAGCACAACCUACUUGAGUGGGUUGAUCAAAGCUGAUUGAGAACAAUACAGUAGUUAAGAAGACAUACUUCUAAUUCACCAAUUUGUCAAGAUUAACCCAAGCUUGGUUCAAUAAAACAAUAAAUAGUAAACAUAUACAAAAGUACCAAACAACUAAAGUUCAAUUUAUAAUCAGCAAGAUACAUGCUUGUUCAAUGUAGGCUCAAUUUCAAAUUUAUUAAGAUAUCAAACCAAGUUCCAACAACCCACCUUUUGGCUCAGCUCAUUGGCACAAAUGUCGAAAGCCAAGAACUACUUAUGCUCACACUUUGUAAAACAAAAUUAUGAGAGAUACAAAGACAAUCAAGAGAGAACACAGGGUUAACCGUGACUUCAAUAGGCACACGUGUAUCAAUGCGAUGUUGGUAAUAAAGAUCAAUGCAAUCAACAUCAAGCCGCUUCAAGCUGGCCUCGCAGGCAGCCCGUACAUAGGCUGGGUCGCCGCAUAUGUCAUUCUUCCCAUCAGCAAGUCUAAUCCCGAAUUUUGUAGCUAACUCCAUUUUCUCCCUCAUUCCAUCCUUCAAAGCCUAUGCAAAGCCACGAUUUGAUACCAAACAGUAGAUAGACAUUACAAAAACAAUGAUACGUUAAAAAUGGGCAACCCAUCCAAGAAGCGAAAGACACUAAACAGACUAGCCAGGUUAAGGUUCGAGACGGCCUAUGCAAAGCCACAAUUUGAUGCCAAACAGUAUUAAACACCACAAAAGCAUUGAUACGUUAAACAUGGACAACCCCUCCGAGAAGUGACACUAAAUAGACUAGCCCGAGUAAGGUUUGAGACUAGAGUCCAUAAGACUAAUAAUGAAGCUGUAAAAAUGCUUGAAUAAUUUGUCCUUCUCCAGCAAAAAAGAAGUUACUUUGAUAGCAUUUCCCCAAUCAAUGAGACAGUCCCAAGAAUAACGAAAGGAAAUUAAAACGUAUAUGGCCAUUUUAUGAAGGCCUCACAACGAAGAUAACACCUUAAUCUAGUUCUGUUGAGUUCCACGAAUACCAGAAAAAGAUUAAAAAUUGGAAGAAACUACCAAUUUAUAAACUACAUAAAAAUAAAAAAACCAAAUAUUUAUGGGAAAAAAAACCUUAAACCAAAUUAAGGGUUUAAAUUCCAUGACUUAGUUAAACAAUAUACCAAUAAAUAAAUAAAUAAUAGAAAUAGGAAAUAAAAUGUAUAAGGAAUCUGAAUCAAUCACCAUACAAGCUCAGUCUUCCCAGUUCCCAAAUCUUGUACAACAUUUAAGAAUAAAAAACAACACAAUAUAUUCUAUUUCUGCAACUAAUAUUUUACACUUUUUCUUAUAUAUUUAGAAAUAAACAGAAUUGAGAAAUUCCAUGUGUAAUUACUAAUUAAAGUUGCAGAAAUACAAGUGUGUCUGUGUCUGUGUCUGUGUCUGUGUGUUGGGGUUAAGGAAACAGGGUAAGAGUACCUACCUUCCCGAGGAGGAUUUCAUUGGUUUUCGGCCCAUAGAUGUCGGAGGUAUCAAGGAACGUGAUGCCGGAAUUUAGUGCAUAGUGAAUGAGUUUGAUCAUGUCGGGCCCGGGCUUCGGCUGGCCGAAAUGUGGCGUCAUGCCCAUGCAUCCGAGUCCUUGCACAGACACUUCCAAUCCCUGUGAGCCGAGCUUGAUUCUGGGCAUUUUCACAUUGCUUUCGGCAGCCAUUAUUCAGGAAUCCCCGUCUAUGUUAAUGGAUACUGAAUCGAAUGGGAGGAACAGGUAAAAUAAUCAGGGUUGGUCUACAGUGCAGAGAUAAUUAGAGCGUGUUUGAUUGUGAGAAAAUAUUACUUAAAAAAAAAAAUAUUUCUCAUCUUUUGUGAAAAAUAAAAAUCACUUGAAAAUAUUUUCCUUAAAAAUAAGAAAAAUUAGGCGUAUUUUCAAAAGUUGAAAAAUAUUUUUCAUGGAAAAAAAAUAGCAAUCAAACACUCCAAGUGAAAAUUUGGUUAGAAAGCUAAUAUUUUCCAUGAAAAAUAAGUGUGUUUGACAUGGAAAAUAUUACCUAGAAAAGAAAAUAUUUUCCAUCUUUUGUGGAAAAUAAAAACCACCUCUACCCAAGGAAAAUAUUUUCCUUAAAAACAAGGAAAAUAAGACAUAUUUUCAAGAGUUGGAAAAUAUUUUUCAUAGAAAAAAAUAGCAAUCAAACACUCUAAGUGAAAAUUUGGAUGGAAAACUGAUAUUUUCCAUGGAAAAUAAAUAUAAUCAAACACACCCUUAUUGUUUGUAGCUGGGUUAAUCUUGUCUUAUUUUUCUUUCUAGACUCACUAUUAUUCUACUAAAUAUUAAUUUAUUUCAAUUAGGUCACUAAACUUUGAUUUAGUUUCACAUUACACCAUUAUAUCACAUUUCAUCUUCUAUAUUCCCAAACUAACGAAAUUUAAAUAGCUGGCAUCCAUAUUAUAAUCGAUCAUUCAUGUAAUCAUCUUGGGUACCCUAAAAAUGAAAAUCACAAUAUAAAAAUUAUUGUAAUUAUUUAACUCCCUGUUUGAUAGAGAUUAAAAUAUUCAAAUUUUAGUACAAGUCAAAAUUAACAAUUAUUUUUACCAAAAAUUUCAUGAAACACAACUUUUUAAUCACAAUUUAAUCAAUUUAUUAAAAAACUGAUUUUAAUCUCCACCCAACAAGGUAUUAGAUUAAAAUGUUUAAGUAUUUUUCUUAUCCGCUUUAUCACCUUUAGGACGUGGCAUAAUAGUAAAUUGACAUCCCACACAAAAAUCAAAUGCAAUGUGGUCUCGAGUAUUCUAUAAGUUUGGGAGACGAAAUGUGACAAUUACAUAAAAACAAAAACAAAAAUAAAAACAAAUUUAGUCCAAUGACCCAAUUGUAUCUAAAUUGAAGUAUAGGGAACCAAUUAAGCGGAAUUUGUCUAAAAGUUCAGUGACCAUAAUUGAAAUUCACCCUUCCCCCGUCUCCCCCACCCCCCACUCCCCCAACUUUCAUUUUGCUUACGUAAGAGAUGACACAAGAAGUUGAAGAAGAAAAAUAACAUUAGAAAUUUAUGUGAUGGUAGGUGAAGAUGAAUUAUCAUUAUGAAGCUAGUCUUGGUGCAGCUGCUUUCCAAGUUGACAAGGGAGGAGCAUUGAAGUUUCCCAAUUCCAAUGUUAUCAUAUUUGACUUUAGCAUGGACUUUAUCCUAAAAUGGUUAGAAUUCCUAUUCCAAUUGAGAGAGACUAGAGAGGCUUACACAGGAUCCCUUCAAAUCAUACACAAUAGAGAGUGAGGGAGUAUUUUUUAGCAAUAUUUUACGCACAUAAGACCCUCAUCAUGUGAGUAUUCUGGAAGGGUUAUGUGGCCCCUACAUAUGGCAAAAAUCAUUCCAAUUUUAGCGUUAUCGACAAAUUUUGGUAAAUCUACAUUAUUUAUUGGGAAAAUUGCAGCAAAGGCCCCAAACCUUGAAAAUAUUAACAGACUUUCCCCAAACUUUUAAUUUGUUGCAAUUGUCAACCCAAAUCUUACGAAACGUUGCAGUUGAGGCCCUUUUGGACGGUUUUCAUCCAAAUGUCUGUUAGUUGACUAAAAAUUUUGACUUUGACCAAUAUUUAAUAUUUUUGGAAGGGUAAAAUAGUAACUCUUAAUUUAUUACAUUAAAAUAAGUUAGAAAUUAAAUUAUAAAAAAUAAGAAAUAAGAAAUUAAAAAAAAAAGAAAAAAAAAAGGCCAGUCAUCUUCUUCCUCUAACCCCCACGUCCAUCCCCAAAAUCAAUUACGCCACCGGACCGCCACCUCCAUCUCCACCCCCACCCCCAGCUAACACACAAAAAUAUGAAGACAAUAAUUCGCCCAUUGCAUCCAACAUAUACAGCAUAUCCCCACCAAUUUGCUGUUGCAUUUUGACAAAUGAAACCUUAGGAAAAUCUGCAUUCUUCACAUCACAAAUGGGAAUGGACCCGAAUUCAUUCACAGCAUAAAAUGAUUCAUAAAAAAUAAAUUACAUCCUCACAAUAUAAUCGUGCUUCGUCAAUGAAUUUCCAGGAAUUUCCCCCUUUUCAUAAUAUGUCAGAUCUCCGUGUCAAUUAAGAAUCGUGAAGGCAAUUAAAUUCGAGUCAUUGUAAGGGUUGUGAGAGAGAAUGACCUUUUGAAUAAAAUAGUCGUGCAUUUUUCUUAGAGUAAUAGACCUCAGCACCUGGAGGCUGGAGUGUGUAUUCACGACCUAUGCUGUAGAAAUCGAAAUUUGAGACAUUUGGGACAGUUGAAGACGCUGGGAAAUUAACUUUGGCACAUGUGAUAGGGUUAAUAAGGAAAAUAGAGCUAACUAGGGAGGAACCAAUGCGGCGAUGGCUGGGGAAUGCUUCUGGUAGCGUGAGGUUGGGAAGGGAGUGGAGUGAGGGGUGGGAGGAAGGAAGGAAGAAGACGAUUGGCCUCUUUUUUUCUUUUUUUUCUUAUUUUUUAUAAUUAAUUUCUAACUUAUUUUAAUGUAAUAAACUAAGAGUUACUAUUUUAUCCUUCCAAAAAUAUUAAAUAUUGGUCAAAGUUAAAAUUUUUAGUCAACUAACGAACAUUUGGAUGAAAAUCGUCCAAAAGGGCUUCCGCUGCUACGUUUCGUAAGGUUUAGGGUGACGAUUGCAACAAAUUAAAUAUUUGGGGAAAGUCUGCUAAUGUUUUAAAGAUUUGGAGCCCCUACUGCAAUUUUCCCUUAUUUAUUCCUUAUUACAAUACUGCUUUCAUUUUGUCGUGGCAUUACCUUUCAUGGGAAGUGUUCUCUUGCAUGACCCUAUUGAUCUUCAACUAUUGCUUGACCGCCCCGCCCCGCCCCGACCCGACCCGAUGGGGACCUCCUCGAAUGGGGGAAAAAUCGGGUCCGACUGGCGGGGUGGGGCGCGGCGCGGUGCCGCGUUGUAGGGCGGGGAGGGACUGACCUUUGAAGAGGAAAAAAAUUAAAAAUAAAUAGACAAUUCACUCGUUAAAAACUCAUUUUGAAUUUGUAUUUUAUUCUCCAAUAAUAGCAUAAUUCGAAAUAAAAAACAAAAAAAAAAGGGGUAGCAAACAAGGCAAAAAGCUGCCCCACCCCACUGCCAUCCCUACAAUUUGUCAAGAUUAACUCCAGCUCGGUUCAAUAAAAUAAUAAAGAGUAAAUAUAUAAAAAAGCACCCAAAAACUAGAUUUCAGCUCAUAGUAAACUGGACAAAUGAUCAUUCAUCAUAGGCUUACUUUGAAAUCACACAAAACUUAACCUCAAUUUUAAAUUUACGAAUAAAUAAAUCCAAACUUCAAAAACGAACCUUUUGGCUCAGUUCAAUGCUUGUUGAGAGCUCAUAACAUAUCAAUAACAAGAGCUAGUUGCAAUCAAAGUUGGUAAAUUUAAAUCACGAGAUACUUAGAGGGAAAUAAAGGGUUAAUCGUGACUUCAAUAGCCAAACGUGAAUCAAUACGAUGUUGGUAAUAUCAAUCAAUAUAAUCAAUUGUUAGAUAUAUAUCAUAUAUUUUAUCUAAAAGAAAGUGAUUAUACUGAGAUAAAUGGUCGAGUGGUCAAAUAUAUAGAAUUUAUGUUGGAGGUCAAUGAUUCAAAUCACAAUCAUUGCGAAUAUUUAAAAUUCUAUGAUUUAGCUUUAGGGCCUUGAACUUUUUUGAUUAAAAUAAUUUUUUUUUUCUUUUAUUAAUGUUGGUUCUUCUCAAUUAUGUUCAAAUUUAUAAUGUCAAACUAGCUAGUAAAAUAUAGUAGUUGGAUGGGAUAAGUUAGUAGUAAUAUAAUAAAAAUAACAGUUUUAUUUUAUUGAAUUAUGAAUUAUUAUUGGGAAGUUACAAUUCCUAGUUGAAAUCAACCACAUCUUAUGUACUUUUAGGCAAAAUCAAUUCUAGAAAUUUUAAUUUUAUUUUGUUCUUGAGCAAAAUUUGAGAGUUUUGGAAAAUGCUUGUGAUUGUUGUAGUGAUUCAAUGGUUGUCUCCUAGGAGUAACUGUUCAAAGAGAUAACAAAUGUUAUCGACAAACAACUUUACUUUAAUAUAUCGUACUGUCACGAAUAAUUGAUCGUUCGAUAAAUCGUCUAAUUUUCUACAUUUAAUUGUUUGAAAAAGGUAAUGAAAUUAAUUUCUCCCUCAUCCCCCCCUUCAAAGCCUUUGCAACUCGAUGGCAAACUGGUACAUAAAAAUUAAAUAUUCAUGUAAUAGCCAAAAAUCUAAGGUGCCAUCUAAGCUCCAUCCCGCGAUGUCAAAUACAUAAACUUUUUUGUAAUAUUAGCAGCCGGAAAUUAACUAUAGAAUUAUUGCAGCGUUAAAGAUAAUGAUAAGUGUGUUUUUAUCAUAGUUAUCAGACUCGGACCGGACCUCAACCCGAAUAAUGCAAUGGGUCAACGGGUCAGUGGUUUAACCGUUGACCCGGUGGUUCAACUGGCGAGUCAAUUCCUAUAAAAAAUAUUAUUAAUUAUUUUCAUUGAAUAAUAAUUUUUUUCCCAUUUUCUACAAAUAACUAUAUUAACUUCAUAUUAUUCUGUCAACUAUAUAUCAAUUUGUAUUCCAAUUUCACAAAUUCUAGAUCAUAUAGAGAGAAAUAUGGAUUUGAAACAAUAAAAACAACAAUCAAUGAUUAAAAAAAACUACUUUAUAUCCAUGUUACAACAUCACAAGCAUUAAUAAAAGUUUUGUCACUCUCCAGGUUACAUGCUACCAGUUAAUCAACCCUUGCAUUAAAACAUCAAAAGAAAAGACUUAUCCAUGAUAACUAGAAAUUCUAGACGAUGUCAAUGAUUUCUCUAAUAUUGCCAAUUAUUGGUAAAGGAAGAAGAAAUGAUACCGAUUCAAUAAAUAAAUCAACAGAGAAACGCAAACUAGAUUGGUAUAAAUCACAGUAGAUAAGAGCUCAGAGAUCCACAAAGCAACUAUUCAAAAGCAUAGCACAUGGACCAACUUAAGCAAAAUAUUAAUCAAAUGAAGUUAGUUCAUCUAAAAAAUAAAUUAAAACCACCAUCAUAAUCCAUUUUUUAGCAACCAGUAACGCAAAAAUACUCGGACGUUAACUGGGUAAUAAUCCAAAGAUGAAGAAAAACUAAACACUAAAUAGAGUCUGCUCUUUAUUCGAGUAAAGCAUACAUUAGGUAUUUUUUAACCAUGACAUCAAGAAGCAAUUGUGGAUAUACACAAGCCUGCCAUCUGAAUCAAAUGUCUAUCCAAGUGAGGAUAUACACCAGCUAGAAAUGAAUAAAUACAUCACCUGAAUCAAAUGCUACAGCAAUGGCUAGAUGAAGCCAACAACUUUUUUCACAUAAUAUUAUAAAUGCCCCUCUAAAUCGAUAAAUUUAAUUAAAAACAGUAAAAAACUACUGGGGUGGCUCCGAUACAUUGUUGAAUACCAAAUUCCACAUUUUUUUUGUUCUAUAAUUCAUAUGCCAUCAUACCCAGGACAAAAUUCCACAUUUUUUUUGUUCUAUAAUUCAUAUGCCAUCAUACCCAGGACAAAAUUCCACAUUUUUUUUGUUUUAUAAUUCAUAUUACUUAAAAAAGGAUUCAUCUGACCGAGACUAACCUGCUCUUCCAUCUUUUAAAACUUGAAAUUGGAGAUUUGGAUUCUUGGGAGUUGAUGAAUUGCAAGAGAUUGAGACCGCGGCUGAGGUUUUUAAUUUUGCAAGAAUCCCUAAUGUCUUAGAAGUUAGAAAUUGUGAGGAGACGACGUGGGGAAGGAAACUGGAAGGAAUCUGUGAGGAAAGGAAAGUGAAACACAGUUACUUAAGAACCGGUCGGGUCAAUCCAAAGUCGGUACCCCGAAUCUAUGUAAAAUCGCCGGUUCUAGCGGGUUGUUGGCAGGCUGAUUUUUCAUCCAUAAAUUCCUCACAAUCGGACCGAUCUGGGUCCGGUUCGACGGGUUCCGAACUGAACCGGCCGAUCUGGUUCGGGUCUGAUAACUAUGGUUUUUAUACACUUAUUGGGCACCUUUAAUAAGCUAAUUAAUGAUGUAAUUGAGUGAAUUCCUAUUCAUAAUUGUGUAAUUAUGGUGUUUGUAGAUUAAAAGUCCAAAUUGAGAGAGAAGAAGGCUAAAGGAAGGGGAAAAAAAAAGGACCAAAAAUAUGACUUUGGGGACUAAGAUGUACAGGUCAAAAAGUUCAAGGACUCAAGUUGCAAAUUAUGAAGGAUUUGAUUGAAAAUAAGUUCAAAAUUUAAGGACUAAAUUAGAUGAAACCAAAGUUGGAGGACCAAACGUGCAAUUCUUUGAUGACCAACUGAAGAGAAGGGAAAAGAAGGCAAGGCGCACGCCUAAGCCUGUAGGUAAGGCACGUGCCUCAACUCCACUUUUGGGCAACUGAGAGCAACCAAAAGGCUAAGGCCCGCGCCUUAGGUUGAAAUUCAAGACCUGUGCGUGCAUUUUAAAUCUUUUUAGGGGCUCUUCUUGCAAUUUGUUUGGGAUGAUUUUUACUCCUUUUAAACACUCUUUUCACCCAUUCUCAACAUUCUUCUUCAUCCAUUUUAAAACCCUAGCUUAGAAAGAAAAGGGGGCGAACAAAAAGGAGAGGAAAAAUCACACAAAGAAGAUAAAAUCUUGGAAAAAUUUAGACCAAAACCAAGCAAGAUUCAAGGAUCCGACCAAGGGACAUGUUUAUUUCUUUGUCAUGUAUUUCACAUUAUAUUUUUCUCAAUUUUUGUGAUGUAUUUCUUUAAUCCUUUCAUUUUGUGCCCUAUAAAUACAAUGAGCAAAACAUUUUGGUGUCGGGAUGAAUGAGGAAGCUUGUCUUAACUAUAUAAAUUUCUUUAUUCACUAUUUUAAUGCUUAUGUUCUUGUAUUUUUACCAUUACAUUGAGUGUAUUAUCAUUAUUGUGGUCACUAUGUGAUAAUGUCUAGUGAUUUGUGUGAUUAUUGAGAAAGUGUUGCACAUUUUAGAUUAAGGUGGUAGAAAUCCUAGGUUCUUGUGGAAAUAGAGAUAAACUCCUACUCUUAGGUAACUUUUGAGUUAUUUUCAUUGAUAUUUAAUGCUUUUGAUUGUGCUUAAUCAACAUAGAAAUAUAACAGGUUAAACCAAUUGAUUAUGGUUAGUUUCACUUGAGAAAUGUAAUUAACUAAAAUAGGAAAAUCGGGUUUGACAAGAAAACUGAGUAAUGUUCUAUUGACUUGUUAUGAAGAAUUAAUUUAGUGACUGCAAAAUGAAAUCAUGAAUCCUAACCUGACUAAAAUCCAACUUUGACCAUAACUGUAAUUGGGUAUUUUAUUUGAAUGCUUAGAAGUAUAUUCUUUUAAUCUUUAAAUUCAAAGAUAUUAAUUAUUUAAAUUCAAAGAUAUUAAUUAUUUAAAUUCAAAGAUAUUAAUUAUGUGUGUCAUGACUAUUAUUUGGAUCAACUCUCGUGUAAUUGGACUAAACACUCUUCAAGGGAUCACUUAGACUCAAAAAGUUCACACUAUUACGUGUGCGCGACCCCUGCACUUGCGAUGUAGCAUUUUAGUAAACAGGUAACAUCAAUUAAAUAUAAUAGUCACGACAUAAUGACUGACCUUAUACAAUAAAAAACAAUUUCAAGAAUCAUUGAUAGGAAUAAGAACCCAAACCUUCAAUGAGCAAUUCUAUGUUCAAAUGCUGGAUUCUAAGACAAGAACAUUCUUGCGGGGCGUCCUACUUUGCAUAAAUAUGAAAAUAAUAAUCAAUAUGUGAUGAUGUAAACUGCUCCCUCUUAACAUUGGUAUUUUAAGAUAGAAUUCAAGAUUCGAUAUAUAGACUUCAAAGAAACACACAAAAUAUAGACUAAUUUUUAUAGAUCCUGGAGUGUUACUAAAAAAUUGAUUUUCUUCACGUAAAUGAGGCAACAUAAAAAUAAAAAAAUUCCUUCAUUUUCAAUGAUAAAUAAUAACUAUAUGCUGACCAAAACAUGAAGUUUAUAUCUUUUCGAAACGACUUUGAUCGACCAGAACUAACUAUAAAUAAUAAACUAGAUAAUAGAAAACUUAACGAUUCCAUUGUCUUCAAAUCAUGUUGACAAUCCUCAUCACCAUUCUAUAACAAAUUUGAUAACUAAUUGUAAAUUUUGUAAAAGUGAGUAUUUAACACUAGCUAGUAAAAAUACAUAUGAUUUCUAUAACAUAAUUAAAUAAAUCAAUAAAAUAGAUAUUGAUUGGUACAUAUAUAUUAAUAAAAUAAAAUAAAUUUAACUUUUAUCCGAAUCACUUUGCACAUGUUUGUUUAUCAUUCUCCAUAAACUCUUUUUUUUUUCUUUCUCUUUUUUUUUUUUUUUUUUUUAAACUUUUUUUCAAUUUUUUAACUAAACUUUUUUUUAAACUCAUUUUCAACUUUUUAACUAGACAUGCUCUAAGAAUCACUAUUCCAAAACUCCAAUCAAUCGAAUAUUGAUUAAUGCGUAAUUGAUCGAACACUACUUGCAAAUGGCUUUUUUGCUCAGAAACAUUUAAAAAAAAAAAAACUCUCUUUAUUGGACAUCAAAUAGGGGCUUAAUUAGUACAUAAGCAUAUAUACAAACAUGUAAUCAUGGCCGCCUAUUUCUUGAGUCCAACUUAUUUGGAUUAACUUUUCUCGAGCCAUAGUGCAUCAUUUAAUACGAGAUUAGUUUUUAACCCUACAAUAUUUAAUUAUUUGACCCGAAUAAAAAUAUUGUAUUAAACACUUAUUUUCUCUUUAGUCGAUCAAUGAUUUAAAAUUAUCAAAAAGCUCCUAGGUCAAAAUUCUUAUCGCUAGAUAUUCUUAUUCUAUAAAAUUUCCAGAGGAUAGAUUUGCUAUGUUAUUCUAUCUUAUGGGUCACAUUUCACAUCAAGACCAGAAAUAGAAAAAUUAGUUAGAAGGUGUAAAUAUGAAAAAUUGAUUGAUUAAAUUGCAAUGAGACAAAUUAAGACGAUCAAUUUAAGACCAAAAAAAGAGUGAAAAAUGGGAAUAUUCUUUAAAAUAUGGUAACCUAACAAUCUUAAUUUUCCAUUGUUUUGAUGGUAACCUCACUUUGAGCUUUUAGACCGCAUUCUAAUUGUAGAUUUCUUGUUAAUCGACAAAAGAGAAAUGUAGACUUGGAAUCUUUAAUACCUUGAACCAUACAAAAGAGAAAUGUAGAGUUGCAAUAUUUAAGUUUAAUACCUUGAACCAUGCGAUUAUAUCUCCUACCUAAUGAUUAUGAACCAAUAACCGAUUGAAGAGAAAAUUAUUGAUACGAAUCCCUUUGGCCUAUCCACAAAUAUGGUAAGGCAUUCCCAAGUCCUAUUUGAAUUAAUCUAUGGAGAUUACGACAAAUUCCAUUCAUGAUUUGAAUUUUUAUAACAUCAAGAUUAGAUGUACCAAACAAAAAGGAAUAUCAUUAAGUAAAUUCAUAUGAAAUUUAUCCCAAAGAUUAGUAACGAAGUCAUUUACAAUGAAACUAACUACUAUUAACUAACCAAUCGUCUACUUCUCAAGACUCGAGUAUUCAUGGUUGUCUUGGAUCCUACAAAAUACCUAUGUGAUGGAACUUAUAAACUUUCGUAGUUUGGCUGAUAAAACUCAUUAGAGACAAAAGUGAAAAAACAUGGACCAACGAUAAAUCGGUCCGGUUAGUGCUUGAAAUCAAACUAGUUACAGUGACUACCAAAAGCUCUAGCAUGCCCAAGUAUUUUCCGAGCCAAGGCAAAGAUCAAGAGCUGGCCAAACGUCAACCCGCACACAUGGUCUUACAACUAUGCCGAAAAAAUGGGAGAAACCCCAACCUCAUAAACCAGUUCACCUUUGACCCUUUUCGCAAUCUGUCUGGUUGAAUUUAUAAAAUUUUAGUAAAUUUUUGCUGGCUGGUUUUAAAAGCACAAUUGGUAUGUUUAGAAAGGUUUGUUCAUGAGCUAAAAAAACUUUUAGUUUCACUUUAGAAGUUGUAAGUCUUUAAAGCUAAACUCGAAAUUAUAGAUAUAAAAUAACUAUCAAAUUAAAUCCCAACAGUUUUCAAGGAGAUAAAAUUUCUAGCAAUGAAAACUGCUUGCUUAGAACAUUUGAUGCCAAUUUUAUUUCGACCUCUUCACUCCAAUGGCAAAACGGGCAGGCACAAAGUGAUCACACAUGAUAAGGUAUUAUUAUGAGAUAGAUAAAGCGUUCUUUAUGCGGCUGCUUUCCAGGUUGACAAAGGUGGCGUGUCUGAAUCUUUCCAUGUAGGGAUAUUGGGUCCAUAUCUCUCGCCCUUGACAGCAUCGGCCGAAGUAAUAGAUUCAAGUUCGGCCAUGUCUUCUUCCGUCAGUUUUACAGACAAUGCUCCCAUGUUUUCAUUAAGGUUCGUAGAUUUCGUUGUACCAGGUAUCGGACAAACAUCAUUUCCUUGAUGAUGUACCCAGGCCAAAGCAAGCUGUGAAGGGGUACAUCCCUUUCUAUUUGCAAUAUCCUUGACCCUCUCGAAUAAGCUCUUAUUAAGCUCCAGAUUCUCGGGUUGGAAUCUUGGUAGACGCUGCAAAAUGUAAAAAGAGUUUUAGCAUAUACAUCAGUUUCAAUAUUGAUAAUUAAGAUUGUAAAACUACACAUUUUAAAAGCAGGAACAUCAACUAAUAACGUGCACGCUUCAAGGGGAAAAACUUGUAGCAGGCAUUAGAACUAUGUAACGACAAAAUUUAAGACUAGGACUCCAUUUGGUACAGCAUUAUCAUUGAAAAGAGGGAUUAAUGCUGACUGAAAUUCAUCAAACAGUUCACUUGGAUGCUCAACUCAACAGGUCUUAUAGAAAUACAAAAUUAAGGUAAUAUAAUUGUGGAACACCACCUAUUUUCAGAAGCUUAAGUUUUCCAGUUCUCUUCUAAGGAUGAUAUCGUCAUAUUAUACUGAAGUGGUGGACUUUUAUCUUGAAAUAUAAAUCAAGAGAGAGAAAAGAAUUACUUACAUUGUUUUGGUAACUGUAAUGUGAAUGUAUUGCUACCAGCAUGUUUGGUUAAACUUUAAAAGUUUACUUAAUAAAUAUGUGUGUGUGUGUAUUAUGGUAAAAGUUGAAAAUAAGUAAUUUAUUUUGACACCAAAAUAAAAGUUAAUUUUAAAAAUAUAUAACGUUUUUAUUUAAAAUUUAGACAAAAGUAAGUUAUAUGCGUAUGCAAACAUAUUUGAAAACAAAAAGUUACUUAAAAGUAGUUGUUUAUCUUUUUGGAGCUUACGCAAACAUGAUCUUGAAUAAUUAUAUGUUCAAAAGCUUGCAUUUCAAGUGAGGGCAUAACUUAUAUUCAUAAUUCCAGAGAUACUUAGAUAUUAUGUGUAUCAUAAAUCCAAAAAAUGGUGGUGUGCACAAUGGCUACACAAAAUAAUUCAUGGUUGAAUAGGAAGCUCAUAGGUGAUAGAAGAAUAAAACAAACCAACCUUUCGAAAGUCCACUUCAGAGAAAGUUUCAACGACUUUUGGACCGGAGGAGAAGAAUCCCCGUCCAAGAGGACUGUAUGCUACUAUUCCAAUGCCAAGUUCUCUAAACAAUUGUACCAAGGAUGUUUAGAUUUAGAACUCUAUAUUUCUUACUGGCUUGAAAUAUAAAACCAUUACAAUAAUCAUCAAACCUGCAAGUGGGAAUUAUUUCUACCUCAGCAUCUCUUGUCCACAAAGACCACUCCAACUGCACUGCUGAAAUUGGAUGAACAGCAUGCGCCCUUCUGAUUGUAGAAGGUGAGGCCUCUGAUAGACCAAUAUAUUUUACUUUACCUUCUUCCACAAGUUUCUUUAGUUCUCCCAUCUUGCAAAAAGAGGGAUCCAAAGUAAUUAGGAGAGGCUUAAGAAAGAAACAUGCGGAAUCAAAUCUAAGAAUAAAAGGGAGACAUCCAUAUAUAUAUAAUCAAAUAUGUACAACAAUAGGCAGGUUGAACAACAAUAGGCAGGUUAUGUUGGCUGUAGGAACUACUCUACUAUAGUGCCAUUCCUGAAGAUUCCAUGUCACAUUUUCUAGAUUUAUCAAAGGUUUGAAUUGUGAGAUUAAACCAAAACUCUUUUUUAUACAUCAUUAGAGGAAGGUCGGGUUAUAGUUAGCUAUUAAAAUUGAUAAGUACCUCCAAUCUCAUCCAGUUAGAUGUGCACCUCACGUGUCAGAAGAUUCUCAACAGUUUCACCCUACUUCAUUCACUAAGUCCAGUAUUGAAUCUCAGUUUUGCAUAUCAUUGAACAACAAAUAGACAAAGCCACAGACCCAAACACUACUGUUAAGACUAAAAAGAUUCGGGGUAGCGAUCGACUUCUAAAUAUCUCCAUCAUGGCUGGAUGCAAGAAAAGCUGUAUUCUUUCAUCAGACUUCAAAAGUUCCGGGGUUCGUGCCCCCCCCAGCAUUUUUCCAUUACAUUAAUAUUUAUUAAGCUGCUAACUAGAUUCGAAAAUCUUGUAGAUUUCACUUAACGAAACAGCAGAAAUAAUGGAGGAAAGAGCAGUAGUAUAGUUUUGUCCUCACUCUGUCAUUAUUCUGAAAUAGCGGUGUAAUGCUUCCCUUCUACAUUGACUAUACUCAGGUUGUAGUGAAUACUCGAAUUUACAUUGAUCACGUGGUAUGGUGCUAACUUGUUCAAAAGUAUGUCUAUUCAACUCCAAUUACAUAACAUGGUUAACAUAAUUGAUGAAACCAUUAAACUAUCACUUCGCUUUGUCUCUAAGGUUAAAUUAAAGUUAGAACUUAGAGAAAGCACAACCUACUUGAGUGGGUUGAUCAAAGCUGAUUGAGAACAAUACUGUAGUCAAGAAGACAGACUUAUAAUUCACCAAUUUGUCAAGAUUAACCCAAGCUUGGUUCAAUAAAACAAUAAAUAGUAAACAUAUACAAAGGCAACAAACAACUAAAGUUCAAUUUAUAAUCAGCAAGAUAUAUGCUUGUUCAGUGUAGGCUCAAUUUCAAAUUUAUUAAGAUAUCAAACCAAGUUCCAACAACCCACCUUUCGGCUCAGCUCAUUGGUACAAAUGUGGAAAAGCCCGUAACAUAUAGAUAACAAGAGCUACAUAUGCUCACACUAAGUAAAACAAAAUUAUGAGAGAUAUAAAGACAAUCAAAA